CCUAGGGGUGGCUGCAGUGGGGAAUAUUGGACAAUGGGCGAAAGCCUGAUCCAGCCAUGCCGCGUGUGUGAAGAAGGCCUUCGGGUUGUAAAGCACUUUCAGUGGGGAAGAAAGCCUUGGGGCUAAUACCCUCGAGGAAGGACAUCACCCACAGAAGAAGCACCGGCUAACUCCGUGCCAGCAGCCGCGGUAAUACGGAGGGUGCGAGCGUUAAUCGGAAUUACUGGGCGUAAAGCGCGCGUAGGCGGUCUGAUAAGCCGGUUGUGAAAGCCCCGGGCUCAACCUGGGAACGGCAUCCGGAACUGUCAGGCUAGAGUGCAGGAGAGGAAGGUAGAAUUCCCGGUGUAGCGGUGAAAUGCGUAGAGAUCGGGAGGAAUACCAGUGGCGAAGGCGGCCUUCUGGACUGACACUGACGCUGAGGUGCGAAAGCGUGGGUAGCAAACAGGAUUAGAUACCCCGGUAGUC
rnacentral:rRNA from 1 species